UAUGGCCAUACCACCCUGAACACGCCCCAUCUCGUCUGAUCUCGGAAGCUAAGCAGGGUCGGGCCUGGUUAGUACUUGGAUGGGAUACCAUCAAUGGGAACCAGCCUUUUCCCAGGA
rnacentral:rRNA from 1 species